rnacentral:lncRNA from 1 species
GCAAACCAAAAAAUAGCCUCAAAUUGAAGUCGGCAUAACAACAAAGAACCUGUAUAAUUCUUCAAAGCUUAGUUUGUGCUUAUAAAUCUUGUAAAUUACAUGCUCUAAAUUUUUUGUGUUUGAAAGCUUCAGUCUGAAAAUCCUUUUAUUUUGACCGCUACUCAUCUUAUCCACAAAUAAUAAAUAAAAUAAAAUAACAAAAGUAUCGAAAAAUGUGGCAGAAGAUUGAAAGUUGAAACAAUAAAAUUAUUGAGAAACAAAUUUACUCUAGGAAAGGAAAAAAAAAGGAAGAAAAGCCAAAACAUGCAAAUCAGACUUAACAUAAUUCG